rnacentral:rRNA from 1 species
GGGGUGAACGUCUCCUAAUACAUGCCAGUCGAGCAGAACGGAUAAGGAGCUUGCUCCUUUGAAGUUAGCGGCGGACGGGUGAGUAACACGUGGGUAACCUACCUAUAAGACUGGAAUAACUUCGGGAAACCGGAGCUAAUGCCGGAUAACAUAUAGAACCGCAUGGUUCUAUAGUGAAAGAUGGUUUUGCUAUCACUUAUAGAUGGACCCGCGCCGUAUUAGCUAGUUGGUAAGGUAAUGGCUUACCAAGGCGACGAUACGUAGCCGACCUGAGAGGGUGAUCGGCCACACUGGAACUGAGACACGGUCCAGACUCCUACGGGAGGCAGCAGUAGGGAAUCUUCCGCAAUGGGCGAAAGCCUGACGGAGCAACGCCGCGUGAGUGAUGAAGGUUUUCGGAUCGUAAAACUCUGUUAUUAGGGAAGAACAAAUGCGUAAGUAACUGUGCGCAUCUUGACGGUACCUAAUCAGAAAGCCACGGCUAACUACGUGCCAGCAGCCGCGGUAAUACGUAGGUGGCAAGCGUUAUCCGGAAUUAUUGGGCGUAAAGCGCGCGUAGGCGGUUUCUUAAGUCUGAUGUGAAAGCCCACGGCUCAACCGUGGAGGGUCAUUGGAAACUGGGAAACUUGAGUGCAGAAGAGGAAAGUGGAAUUCCAUGUGUAGCGGUGAAAUGCGCAGAGAUAUGGAGGAACACCAGUGGCGAAGGCGACUUUCUGGUCUGUAACUGACGCUGAUGUGCGAAAGCGUGGGGAUCAAACAGGAUUAGAUACCCUGGUAGUCCACGCCGUAAACGAUGAGUG